rnacentral:misc_RNA from 1 species
GAUGAAGAACGUAGUGAAAUGCGAUAAGUAAUGUGAAUUGCAGAGUUCAGUGAAUCAUCGAAUCUUUGAACGCACAUUGCGCCCGCCAGCAUUCUGGCGGGCAUGCCUGUUCGAGCGUCAUUUCAACCCUCGACCUCCCCUUGGGGAGGUCGGCGUUGGGGACCGGCAGCACACCGCCGGCCCUGAAAUGGAGUGGCGGCCCGUCCGCGGCGACCUCUGCGCAGUAAUACAGCUCGCACCGGGACCCCGACGCGGCCACGCCGUAAAACACCCAACUUCUGAACGUUGACCUCGAAUCAGGUAGGACUACCCGCUGAACUUAAGCAUAUCAAUAAGCGGAGGA